AUGUACAUGCCUACAACAUAGCAUUAAUGCAUAGGAUCCCAUUAGAACUCUACAGUUAAGCACGCUUGGGCUAGAGUAGUAUUGGGAUGGGUGACUGCCCGGGAAGUCCUAGUAUUUUACAUG
rnacentral:rRNA from 1 species